rnacentral:misc_RNA from 1 species
ACGCAGCGCGCCACUGCGGCGCCAUGGCCUGCUCCGUGCAGGAUAGACGAAGAUCGGGUGUUGGCUUCACUCCGAGGGCCGCCCUGCUGACAGUCACCUGCUGCGCGCUGCUGGCGCAUGGCGCCCCGCCGACCCGCCUGCCAGACCUGCCCGCCCCGCUCUCAGCGCGCGGCCAACAGCACCCGCGGCCGCCGAGGUCUUUUGAAGGUCACCAAGCGCCUCUCAACAGGCUACAACUAACGCCUUCGAGGAGGCGUGAAAUGGGCAGCUCAACAGCGCCGCCGGCUCUGCCAGGUGCGUGGCUGCGGAGUCCCGACCCGGCCGCCCUGGCGGACUCCGACUCCGGCGCGGCCAUGGACUACAGGACGGAGCGCUACCACAUCGCUGACCUGUUCGCCGAGGGCACCGGCUGAGCGGCCACCUGGCGGCCGGCACUGCAACCUCAACAUACUGUGAUGGCCGCUGGAGGCGCGGCGGGCGCGGCGCACCGCCCGGCGGAGGGGAGUGGGGCCACCGCUCGGCGCGCAGCAGUGAACGUGUUCAGCGGGUGAGGGCCGCGGCGCAGUAGCAGCAGCAGCAGCCUCACCUCCCCAAUGGACGGCCCGUAGAGAACAGUGCAGCGGCCCAACCGUGCGGCGUCCACCUGUUGUCCGGAAUCGGGGCGAGUUAUUGUACCACUGCGUCUAGUUAUUGUAUCUGUUUCCCGGAGUACGGGUCUGUGUUGCAGCUUUUCCCCGAGUCUGGGUGUGAAGAUGCUGUUUUUCUCGGAGUCCGGGUGGCUGAGUGUGUGGUAUCUUUGACCAGAGUUUGGGCGGCUCGGUAUCUGUAUCGUAUUUUAUCCCUGAGUGCAGGAAGGCUCAGGGUGAGUGCCAUUCCGUUUCCGUAGGUAUACCGACGCGUUCCACUGGCGCCUGUGAGGGUUCACAGGGCCAGUGUCCGACCCUGUGAGGGUUCACAGGGCCAGUGUCCGACCCUGUGAGAGCCGACUCCCGACGAGCUCGUGACGGGGCCGAGCCGGUGAAUCGGCUGACUGACUGGACUGAGUCAGCGGGUCGGUGACUGGACUACUGAGUCGGUGACGGCACUGAGGCUGUAACUGCACUGAGUCGGUGACUAUUGAGAAGGUAACUGGACUACAUACUGAGCUGUGAAUGGACUACAAAGUACUAAGCCCACAACUGGAUUGAGUCAGUGAAUAGACUACUGAGUAGGUGA